AGUGAACGCUGGCGGUAGGCCUAACACAUGCAAGUCGAACGGCAGCACAGUAAGAGCUUGCUCUUACGGGUGGCGAGUGGCGGACGGGUGAGGAAUACAUCGGAAUCUACUUUUUCGUGGGGGAUAACGUAGGGAAACUUAGGCUAAUACCGCAUACGACCUACGGGUGAAAGCAGGGGAUCUUCGGACCUUGCGGGAUUGAAUGAGCCGAUGUCGGAUUAGCUAGUUGGCGGGGUAAAGGCCCACCAAGGCGACGAUCCGUAGCUGGUCUGAGAGGAUGAUCCGCCACACUGGAACUGAGACACGGUCCAGACUCCUACGGGAGGCAGCAGUGGGGAAUAUUGGACAAUGGGCGCAAGCCUGAUCCAGCCAUACCGCGUGGGUGAAGAAGGCCUUCGGGUUGUAAAGCCCUUUUGUUGGGAAAGAAAAGCAGCAGGUUAAUACCCCGCUGUUCUGACGGUACCCAAAGAAUAAGCACCGGCUAACUUCGUG
rnacentral:rRNA from 1 species